UUUUUCCUUUACCUGUGGUUCUCCUCCUCCUUUUACCUGUGGUUCCCCUCCUCCUUUUUCCUUUACCUGUGGUUCCCCUCCUCCUUUUUCCUUUACCUGUGGUUCCCCUCCUCCUUUUUCCUUUACCUGUGGUUCUCCUCCUCCUUUUACCUGUGGUUCUCCUCCUCCUUUUUCCUUUACCUGUGGUUCUCCUCCUCCUUUUACCUGUGGUUCUCCUCCUCCUUUUACCUGUGGUUCUCCUCCUCCUCCUUUCUCCUUUACCUGUGGUUCUCCUCCUCCUUUCUCCUUUCCCUGAGGUUCUCUUCCAUUUUUCUUUCUCUUCGGUUCUCCUCCUCCUCUUUCCUUUCUCUUCGGUUCUCCUCUUUCCCUUCUCUUCGGUUCUCCUCUUUCCUGUCCCCGCGGUUCUCCUCUUUCCUGUCCCCGCGGUUCUCCUCUUUCCUGUCCCCGCGGUUCUCCUCCUCCCUUUCCCCGCGGUUCUCCUCCUCCCUUUCCCCGCGGUUCUCCUCCUCCCUUUCCCCGCGGUUCUCCUCCUCCCUUUCCCUGCGGUUCUCCUCUUUCCUUUCCCCGCGGUUCUCCUCCUCCCUUUCCCUGCGGUUCUCCUCUUUCCUUUCCCCUCGGUUCUCCUCCUCUUUCCUUUUUGUACUCAACAGCUUCCGCGUCAUGGAUGCCCGUUGUCAUGGCACUGGUGGGAAAUAAACCACCAGCCUGGGAAACCUGUUUUUUUCCUGGUCGUAUCUUACGGGGUCUACCACGUUUCCGUUUCGGGGGUGGUGUUGGUGGGAUUUGGAGCAGUCCAACUGCUUUGGCCAGAGCUUGAAACCUGGAGAAGGAGGGACUGGGAGUUUCAGAAGACAUGUUCGACUGCUUGUCUUCUUGGUGAUGUUUUACUGGAGAGCAGCUCCUGGUUGUGGUCCAAACGUUAGGAGGGCGUUUCACAUCUCGAUCCCUGGCUCGGAGCACCCUUACUGGGUUCCCCAUUUCCCUUCCCAGCAUCUUUGUUCCUUCUGGAGGUCGGUUGGCUUCCUCACCAAGGCUGGACAAAGACUGUGUGGAGGUGUUGGAAAGGUACCGUCCUAAUCUUUCGCUCGCUAAGACAUUGUUGGUUGACAGACUGACAGAGCAGAGACUUAUUUUCACUUGUCCAUUCUCAGUCUUCGUUCCGUCGUUGAUUUUCACCCUUUCAGUCCUCACUAAAGGACUAUCUUCUAUCUUUGUAGAGACGUUGUGUUUCCUCUUUUUCUGAGGAGGCUCUGGGGUCUCACUGUCCUCUGAUUGUUCCUGCUCCACUUUCACACCCUCUGUUCUCCUCACACAGAUUCUCUUCCUGUGGUGACUCCAGGUUUCAUCCUCCUGUCUCCUCUGGGUCUUUGCAUUUGGUUUCUCAAUCCUUGGCCCCUGCUCCGGCUCCAAACCCUCCUUUAUCCUCACACGGAUUCUCUUUUUGUUACUGUGGGGCUUCGAGGUUUCAUCUCCCUCUCUUCUCUUCGCCUUUGGUUUCUCAAGCCUUCGCCCCGUAGUGGUGGUCGCGACCUUCUUCCUUUUCCUCUCCUCCUCGUCCUCUUUUCCGGUCAGUCUUGCGUUGUUGCUAAUGCUAGCCUUGUCUUGACCAUCAGUCAUCUGCUCGGAGUUGUUGUUGGAUUCCCACGGCAGACCAAGGCAUUUUUUAGAUUCACACAGAUUUCCUGGGGAGCGUGGAGAAUGUAUCAUGGAGCUCAGUGGAAAUUGUAGUCUUCUCGGAGUGUGGCAGAGCCAAGGUGGUAGCUUUGACAGCUGAGGGAUUCUAUGGAAUGGAGUUACAGGAUGCCGGAAUGGGGAUUUAAGGAAGGGUUUCGCCGGAGAUGGUGGGGGUGAGGGUUCCGGUGAAUUUAAGGGUGAGAGACAUUUUGGCAGGCAUAGCUCUUCCCAAUAUGGAGGAGGAGAUUGGGAAGGCUGGGUUUCACUUCCUCGAGACAGCAGUGAAAGGAGUUCUGGGAAACGUAGUCCUCUCCCGGGAGAGACAUCUGGUGGGCAUGCUGGGUGUUGUGGUUCAGAAGCAUCAGUUUCAGAGGGGGGGAGGAAACCAGGGGUGACAACCAUUGGUUCCUCUUCUUGUGGAACUUCCUGAUUCGUACUGGCCUGACUCAGACUCUGACUUGGAAUGGCCUCUCCAUUCACACGACUUGGCGUGGUCCCUCCAUUCACCUGACUUGGAGUAGUGUCUCCAUUCACCUGACUUGGAGUAGUGUCUCCAUUCACCUGACUUGGAGUAGUGUCUCCAUUCACCUGACUUGGAGUAGUGUCUCCAUUCACCUGACUUGGAGUAGUGUCUCCAUUCACCUGACUUGGAGUGGUCUCUCCAUUAGUUGACAGACAAUCCGCAGAGGACAGAUUACAAACAUGUUCUCUGUAUGUCGACGGAACGCCCGUCUGGGCAGAAGAACCCUUCCAGCACCCUGGAUCUGGGUCCUCUUCCCCUGUGUAAAGUAGAGAGGCCUGGCUCUGAGGAAGGGACUGGUGGUGGUGGGGAGGCCUUGGUGAAGAGCCUGAGUGGACUGGUAUGAUGCUGCUGCUGCCACCACAUCCAACCACCAGGCUCUUGGAGUUCCGGUUCUGGAGUUCCUGGUUUUGAGAGUUCUGGAACCGGAUCAGGAGUUCCUGGUGGUUCUUGGCGUUCUCAGAGGAGCACUGGAGUACACCUGAACAAUAGGAGGCCCAGUCAGAGGAGUAAUCAUUACAGGAGAAGUGGGGGUGAGGAUGAGAGAGGGGGGUGGAGGGGUGAUAGGUGGAGCAUUGGUGAGGGGUCAGAGGUUGUGGGUCCAGGUAAAGGUCAGGGGUAACGGUGCAGGAGGUUGUCGUGGUGACGAAAUGGGAGGAGGUGAUGGAGUGGAAGGCUUGAGAGAGAAAGACAGAGAGAGAGGUCAGGCUGGUGGUAGCUAAGUGUAGGUGCUAAUAGCGAUCUAUUGUAAUGGAUGACACUGUGAGAUAAGUGCAAGCAAUGCCGUGAGGAGUUGAGGAAGGGCAGGCAUUUAAAAUGUACAUGACUUAUCAUACAUAGACUAAGUCAGUGUUUCCCAACUCUGGUCCUCCAGUACCCCCAACAGCACAACUGCUUCUGCUUGUCAACUAACCAUCAAGCCUUUGACAAGUUGAAUCAGGCGUUUUUAUCUGGGGCUUCAACACAAAUGUGUACUGGAGGACCAGAGUUGGGCUGCUGGGGGUACUGGAGGACCAGAGUUGGGCUGCUGGGGUUACUGGAGGACCAGAGUUGGGCUGCUGGAAGACUGGAGUUGGGGUUACUGGAAGACUGGAGUUGGGCUGCUGGAAGACUGGAGUUGGGCUGCUGGGGGUACUGGAAGACUGGAGUUGGGGUUACUGGAAGACUGGAGUUGGGGUUACUGGAAGACUGGAGUUGGGCUGCUGGGGGUACUGGAAGACUGGAGUUGGGCUGUUGGGGUACUGGAAGACUGGAGUUGGGCUGCUGGGGAUACUGGAAGACUGGAGUUGGGCUGCUGGGGGUACUGGAAGACUGGAGUUGGGCUGCUGGGGGUACUGGAAGACUGGAGUUGGGCUGCUGGGGGUACAGGAAGACUGGAGUUGGGCUGCUGGGGAUACUGGAAGACUGGAGUUGGGCUGCUGGGGGUACUGGAAGACUGGAGUUGGGCUGCUGGGGGUACUGGAAGACUGGAGUUGGGCUGCUGGGGGUACUGGAAGACUGGAGUUGGGCUGCUGGGGGUACUGGAAGACUGGAGUUGGGCUGCUGGGGAUACUGGAAGACUGGAGUUGGGCUGCUGGGGGUACUGGAAGACUGGAGUUGGGCUGCUGGAAGACUGGAGUUGGGCUGCUGGGGGUACUGGAAGACUGGAGUUGGGCUGCUGGGGGUACUGGAAGACUGGAGUUGGGCUGCUGGGGGUACUGGAAGACUGGAGUUGGGCUGCUGGAAGACUGGAGUUGGGCUGUUGGGGGUACUGGAAGACUGGAGUUGGGCUGCUGGAAGACUGGAGUUGGGCUGCUGGGGGUACUGGAAGACUGGAGUUGGGCUGCUGGGGGUACUGAAAGACUGGAGUUGGGCUGCUGGAAGACUGGAGUUGGGCUGCUGGUGGUACUGGAAGACUGGAGUUGGGCUGCUGGGGGUACUGGAAGACUGGAGUUGGGCUGCUGGGGGUACUGGAAGACUGGAGUUGGGCUGCUGGGGGUACUGGAAGACUGGAGUUGGGCUGCUGGGGGUACUGGAAGACUGGAGUUGGGCUGCUGGGGUUACUGGAAGACUGGAGUUGGGCUGCUGGGGGUACUGGAAGACUGGAGUUGGGCUGCUGGGGGUACUGGAAGACUGGAGUUGGGCUGCUGGGGGUACUGGAA
rnacentral:lncRNA from 1 species